CCGCGUGUGUUCGUUUAUGGAGCACCGCACGUGCCCGCGCAUCAUUUUCUGACGCCACUAAUCUGGAAGCUCUCUCCUUGGGCUCGUGGCAUCGCCUGGUGCCCGCGUGCCAGAAGACUACUGUUUUCAACUCGGGAUAAGACAUUUAAGUCUAUAUCGACGAUUAUACUAACUUUUAAAUGGUGUGUGAAAGUUAUAGCAUAUCGACGUUUUUGGGGACUCGAUGGCAUCAGUCGGUUGCAUCGUUUUACAUUAGGAUAACCGUAUUUUGAUUUAGUCCAUUUUCUUCUCGAGAACGGAUAACGAGGAGGAAGACACUUCGACCAUGGUUGUGUUUACACAGAAUGACUGAAACGAUAUUUUCAAAGAGCAACCGACGCGAGGGACAACGCGAGGGACGAGUACAUUUAUGGAUGGUCUUGGUAGGGCACAUUGGAACUCUAUUACUGUGUGAAUAGCCUACAAUUGACUUUUGCUUCCAGGACUCUACCUUUCGUUCUACCUUUGGGUCUGGGGGUUGUGGUUCUGUCUCUCUGGGAUUGUAGUUUUGAGGGAGAGUGUGGUGGCAUGUCUUGGAUAUAGACCUUGCUAUGAGUCUGGCGUGGAAAAUACCUCGUGGAAGGUGUGCAGCGUGCUACAGACUGGAAAGACUCGACAUCGGCAACUGAUAGGCUCCCCCCGUUUUUACCGAGCGUAAUGCACCUGGCAUGAAGACAGAGAAUGGAUAUUAUUUGGGAACUAUUUAUUAUUCUUCACGCCAAUUUCAUCAUCUGUGUAUCAGCUCAGCCAAAUGCACCUAAAAUACAUGAUGGAUGGUGGGCAUACAAGGAAGUGGUUCAGGGGAGCUUCGUACCAG